GGAUCAUUACAAGAACGCCCGGGCUUCGGCCUGGUUAUUCAUAACCCUUUGUUGUCCGACUCUGUUGCCUCCGGGGCGACCCUGCCUUCGGGCGGGGGCUCCGGGUGGACACUUCAAACUCUUGCGUAACUUUGCAGUCUGAGUAAACUUAAUUAAUAAAUUAAAACUUUUAACAACGGAUCUCUUGGUUCUGGCAUCGAUGAAGAACGCAGCGAAAUGCGAUAAGUAAUGUGAAUUGCAGAAUUCAGUGAAUCAUCGAAUCUUUGAACGCACAUUGCGCCCCCUGGUAUUCCGGGGGGCAUGCCUGUUCGAGCGUCAUUUCACCACUCAAGCCUCGCUUGGUAUUGGGCAACGCGGUCCGCCGCGUGCCUCAAAUCGUCCGGCUGGGUCUUCUGUCCCCUAAGCGUUGUGGAAACUAUUCGCUAAAGGGUGUUCGGGAGGCUACGCCGUAAAACAACCCCAUUUCUAAGGUUGACCUCGGAUCAGGUAGGGAUACCCGCUGAACUUAAGCAUAUCAAUAAGCGGAGGAAAAGAAACCAACAGGGAUUGCUCUAGUAACGGCGAGUGAAGCAGCAAUAGCUCAAAUUUGAAAUCUGGCGUCUUCGACGUCCGAGUUGUAAUUUGUAGAGGAUGCUUCUGAGUGGCCACCGACCUAAGUUCCUUGGAACAGGACGUCAUAGAGGGUGAGAAUCCCGUAUGCGGUCGGAAAGGCGCUCUAUACGUAGCUCCUUCGACGAGUCGAGUUGUUUGGGAAUGCAGCUCUAAAUGGGAGGUAAAUUUCUUCUAAAGCUAAAUAUUGGCCAGAGACCGAUAGCGCACAAGUAGAGUGAUCGAAAGAUGAAAAGCACUUUGGAAAGAGAGUUAAAAAGCACGUGAAAUUGUUAAAAGGGAAGGGAUUGCAACCAGACUUGCUCGCGGUGUUCCGCCGGUCUUCUGACCGGUCUACUCGCCGCGUUGCAGGCCAGCAUCGUCUGGUGCCGCUGGAUAAGACUUGAGGAAUGUAGCUCCCUCGGGAGUGUUAUAGCCUCUUGUGAUGCAGCGAGCGCCGGGCGAGGUCCGC
rnacentral:rRNA from 1 species